AAAAAAUGGAAACAAAUGAUGAUGAUAUAUGACUAAAACGAUUUCUAUCUUAAAUGUUGUUAUUAUAAUAUAUCAAGAUGACUUUUUUUUCGUUGAUGAUGAUAAUGAUGAUUGACGCUUUUGUCUAGUUUUUUUCAUCUGUGUAAAUGCUUUUUUUACAUAUUUGGAACACCAAAUCUAUAUAGAAAGAAUGAUAAGAAAUCUUCAAUGGAUUGAAUGAAGAUAUCGUAUAUCGGCAACCGACACCAGACAAUUAUUAUUAUUAGCUGAUGGCAAUCAUAAUGCAACAAAUUUUGAAUAUUUUUAUUUUCGAUUUCAUUCAUCACCACAAGAUAAAUGGGGACUUGAAAAAAUUUGUCUACAAUUAACCAGAAAGAACCAGAGGGGAAUCAAAAUUAAAAAUACUCGACAAUUUUAAACGGUUAAAUGAUUU